AGAGUUUGAUCCUGGCUCAGAUUGAACGCUGGCGGCAUGCCUUACACAUGCAAGUCGAACGGUAACGCGGGGCAACCUGGCGACGAAUGGCGAACGGGUGAGUAAUACAUCGGAACGUGCCCAGUAGUGGGGGAUAGCCCGGCAAAAGCCGGAUUAAUACCGCAUACGACCUACGGGUGAAAGCAGGGGAUCGCAAGACCUAGCGCUAUUGGAGCGGCCGAUGUCAGAUUAGGUAGUUGGUGGGGUAAAAGCCUACCAAGCCUACGAUCUGUAGCUGGUCUGAGAGGACGACCAGCCACACUGGGACUGAGACACGGCCCAGACUCCUACGGGAGGCAGCAGUGGGGAAUUUUGGACAAUGGGCGCAAGCCUGAUCCAGCCAUGCCGCGUGCGGGAAGAAGGCCUUCGGGUUGUAAACCGCUUUUGUCAGGGAAGAAACGCUCCGGGUCAAUACCCUGGGGUAAUGACGGUACCUGAAGAAUAAGCACCGGCUAACUACGUGCCAGCAGCCGCGGUAAUUCCAGCUCUAAUAGCAUAUAUUAAAGUUGUUGCAGUUAAAAAGCUCGUAGUUGGAUAGUAUGUGAAAUAAAUGUUUUUCGUUUGAGUGAGGUGAUGAUGAUGAGUUUGUUGAAAGAUGAACGUUUUGUUGUUGUCUUGUUUGAAUAAGAAACAAAAGGAUCGUUGUCAUAAAUAUAAUAAGUAUAACUGGGUUUCGUCUCUAUUAUAUUGAUUAUAUUAUUAUGACAUAGAUUACCUUGAAUAAAAUAGAGUGUUCAAGGCAGGUGUUAAUAGAAUCAUUUAUUCUUUGUUCAUUGUUUUCUCACGAGAGCAAUGAGUUAAGGAGGGUGAGGAAAUUAAUAGUACAUAGCCUGAAUAUGUUA
rnacentral:rRNA from 1 species